rnacentral:rRNA from 1 species
AAGAACCUUGCCUGAUGCAGUCUCUGGGUUUGAGAGAUGCCGGCCUUCGGGUUGUAAACCUCUUUCAGCAGGGAAGAAGCGAGAGUGACGGUACCUGCAGAAGAAGCGCCGGCUAACUACGUGCCAGCAGUGAUGGGGACACGUAGGGCGCAAGCGUUGUCCGGAAUUAUUGGGCGUAAAGAGCUCGUAGGCGGUUUGUCGCGUCGAUUGUGAAAGCCCGGGGCUUAACUCCGGGUCUGCAGUCGAUACGGGCAGGCUAGAGUGUGGUAGGGGAGAUCGGAAUUCCUGGUGUAGCGGUGACACAAGCAGCUAUCAGGAGGAACACCGGUGGCGAAGGCGGAUCUCUGGGCCAUUACUGACGCUGAGGAGCGAAAGCGUGGGGAGCGAACAUGCCGCAGCUCCCUGGUAGUCCACGCCGUAAACGGUGGGCACUAGGUGUUGGCGACAUUCCACGUCGUCGGUGCCGCAGCGGGCGUAAAGAGUGCCCCGCAUUCCUGGUGCGGCCGCAAGGCUAAAACUCAAAGGAAUUGACGGGGGCCCGCACAAGCGGCGGAGCAUGUGGCUUAAUUCGACGCAACGCGAAGAACCUUACCAAGGCUUAAGUAAACCUGGAAACAUCCAGAGAUGGGUGCCCCCUUGUGGUCGGUGUACAGGUGGUGCCGGGGGCCCUUCAGCUCGUGUGGCGU